rnacentral:miRNA from 1 species
UGCUGCCGAUGCUGCUGAUGCUGCUGCUGCUGCAAGGUGAAUAGAUAUGAUCAGUAUCAUCAUCAUCAUCAUCAUCAUCAUCAUCAUCAUCG